GCAUGGUGGCACACGCCUUUAAUCCCAGCACUCUGGAGGCAGAGGCAGGCGGAUUUCUGAGUUCAAGGCCAGCCUGGUCUACAAAGUGAGUUCCAGGACAGUCAGGGCUAUACAGAGAAACCCUGUCUCGAAAAACAAACAAACAAAGAAACAAACAAACAAAAAAACAAAAACAAAAAGAAGGCACCUUCCUGGGGCUGGAGAGAUGGCUCAGUGGUUAAAAGUACAUACCGAUCUCCCGAAGGUCCUGAGUUCAAUUCCCAGCACCCAUACCGCAGCUCACAACUCUCUUCUGACGUGAGGAUGUCCAUGUAGACAAAAUACGCAUGUAUAUAAAUAAAUAAAUCUAAGAAAAAAAAAAGUCACUUUCUAGUUCUGUUACUUUGUGUGCCCCGUACUAAGGAUUGAACCCAGGGUCUCACACAUGCUAGGCAGAUGCUCUACUCCCAAGGCAGGUCCCCAGCCAGUCCUUUUGUCUCAUUUUACAUUUGAACCCCCCUUUUUUUCCAUUAAUAUUUUUGAGACAGGGUUUCAUAUAGUCCAGGCUGGUCUUGAACUCCUGAUCUUUAUGCCUCCGCCUCCCUCCAGCUUAUAUUAGAGAAGUGGAUUAUCAUUCUGGGGUUCAUGUGAUGCUGGACAUCAAACCCAGGCCUUCAUGCAUACAAGUCAACCACUCUGCCAAUGGAGUCACAUCUCCAGGCAAUUUGCAGCCUUCCAUGAUUCUUCUCCCUCCUCUCUGGGCUAGGAAGGAUGUGAUUGGAGCAAGGAGGGCUUAUGUAUGUGAGUACACCAUAGCUGUACAAAUGAUUGUGAGCCUUCAUGUGGUUGUCGGGAAUUGAAUUUUUAGGACCUCUGCUCACUCUGGUCCAAAGAUUUAUAGAUUAAUAUACAUAACUGCACUGUAGCUGUCUUCUGACACACCAAAAGAGGGCAUCGGAUCUCAUUACAGGUGGUUGUGACCCACCAUGUGGUUGCUGGGAUUUGAACUCAGGACCUUCAGAAAAAAAGUCAGUGCUCUUAUCUGCUGAGCCAUCUUUCCAGUCCCUGCCACACGUAUUUUACAUAGUUUCUCAACACACAGAGUCAGGUGGAUUUCUGUGAGUUUGAGCCAGCCUGGUCUACAGACAAAUUGCAGGACACCCAGGGCUACAUUACAGAAAUCCUGUUUCCAAAAAGGGGGGGAAAUGAGGUUGAAACAGGCUAGGGAGCAAGGAACAAGUUUUCUUUCUCUUCUCUUCUCUUCUCUUCUCUUCUCUUCUCUUCUCUUCUCUUCUCUUCUCUUCUUUCCUUCCUUCCUUCCUUCCUUCCUUCCUUUUGGUUUUUUGAGACAGGGUUUCUCUGUGUAGCCCUGGCUGUCCUGGAACUCACUCUAUAGACCAGGCUGGUCUCGAAGUCAGAAAUUUGCCUGCCUCUGCUUCCCAAGUGCUGGGAUUAAAGGUGUGCACCACCACUGCCUGGCACAAAGUUUCUUUUUUUAAACCUCUGCUCCUGCUUGAGUUUCUGCCCUGACUCCCUCAGCGAUGGACUGUGACCCAAAAGUGCAAAUGGAAUGGUCUGUUUCCUCCCCAAGUUGCCUUCUGUUUAUUACAGCAACCUAGAACAACACAGCACCAACUCACGGGGGGGGGGGCACUUGACAGCUCUCCUCCAUGCCCACAUCCACUGACUGGAACUGCCUGUCUCCAAAUCACUACCAUCUUUUGUAAGAGCCUCCAUCUCCACGUCUUGAAUACUUGCCGUGUGUCCGGAGGCUCAUACAUUGGAAGCUUAAUCCCCAGUGUCACCUGGUAGGAGGCGAGGCCAGGUGUGCAGGUCCUGAGGGCUCCUCUACCUGUGUGAGCAGAUUAGUGCUGGUUCUUAAGAGGCGGCAGGCUUCAGUUCUGUAUUUGCUUUCUUCCUCCCUUCAUGGCCCAGGUUCUCUUGCCCUACUGCUUCCCUCACGAACUGGGGAAAAGCAGGAAGACCCACACCAGAGGAACCGUCUAGAAUUUUUUUUUUUACACCCCAGUUCUAGACCCAUAAGAAAUCACCCCUAGCCGGAUGGAUGGUGGUGGUUCAUGCCUAUAAUUCUAGCACUUGGGAGGCAGAGGCAGGCGGAUUUCUGAGUUCAAGGUCAGCCUGGUCUACAGAGUGAGUUCUAGGACAGCCAGGGCUACAUAGAGAAAUCCUGUCUCAAAAAACAGAACAGAAAGAAGAGAAAAAGACAUCAACUUUUGGGCUGGGAAGAUGGCUAGAUAGGCUAAUGGCUGCUGUGCAUGAGGGAGGACCUGAAUUUGGUCCCCAGAGCCUGUGUGAAAACAGCCAGGUGCAGUGGCACACAUGUGUAAUCCCCGCACUGGAGAGGGGAGGAAGAGACAGGUGGAUCUCUGAAGCUCAUUGGUCAACCACCCUAAUCUACUCAGUGAGCUCUGAACUGGUGAGAGAGUCUGUCUUAAAUAAAAAUGGAGAGGCUGGGGAGAUAGCUCAGCGGUUAAGAGCACUGGCUGCUCUUCCAUCCAGAAGAUCCAGGACUCAUUCCCAGCAUUCCCAUGGUGGCUCACAACCAUCUAUAACUCCAGAUAUAUCCAAAAUCCUCUUCUGAUCUCCAUGGGCACUAGGAAUGCCAAUGCUACACAAACAUAUAUUCAGGCAAAGCACCUAUACACAUAAAACAAACAAACAAACAAACAAACACCCCCAACAAAACAAAACAAUGAGGGAGCCUGGCAUGGUGGUAGCACACAGUUUUAAUCCCAGCACUUGGAAGGCAGAAGCACACAGAUCUCUGUGAGUUCAAGGCCAGCCUGGUCUACAGAGUGAAUUUCAGGCUAGUGAAGAUACAUAGGAAGGCCCUGUCUC
rnacentral:lncRNA from 1 species